GAUGAACGCUGGCGGCGUGCCUAGUACAUGCAAGUCGAGCGAACAGACGAGGAGCUUGCUCCUCUGACGUUAGCGGCGGACGGGUGAGUAACACGUGGAUAACCUACCUAUAAGACUGGGAUAACUUCGGGAAACCGGAGCUAAUACCGGAUAAUAUAUUGAACCGCAUGGUUCAAUAGUGAAAGACGGCUUUGCUGUCACUUAUAGAUGGAUCCGCGCCGCAUUAGCUAGUUGGUAAGGUAACGGCUUACCAAGGCAACGAUGCGUAGCCGACCUGAGAGGGUGAUCGGCCACACUGGAACUGAGACACGGUCCAGACUCCUACGGGAGGCAGCAGUAGGGAAUCUUCCGCAAUGGGCGAAAGCCUGACGGAGCAACGCCGCGUGAGUGAUGAAGGUCUUCGGAUCGUAAAACUCUGUUAUUAGGGAAGAACAAAUGUGUAAGUAACUAUGCACGUCUUGACGGUACCUAAUCAGAAAGCCACGGCUAACUACGUG
rnacentral:rRNA from 1 species